rnacentral:rRNA from 1 species
UACGUAGGGGGCUAGCGUUGUCCGGAUUUAUUGGGCGUAAAGAGCGUGUAGGCGGCCCGAUAAGUCCGCUGUGAAAGUCCAGGGCUCAACCCUGGAAUGACCGGUGGAUACUGUCGGGCUCGAAUCCGGAAGAGGUGAGUGGAAUUCCUGGUGUAGCGGUGAAAUGCGCAGAUAUCAGGAGGAACACCAGUGGCGAAGGCGGC